GACGGAGGAUGCAAGCGUUAUCCGGAAUGAUUGGGCGUAAAGCGUCCGCAGGUGGCAGUUCAAGUCUGCUGUCAAAGACCGGGGCUUAACUUCGGAAAGGCAGUGGAAACUGAACAGCUAGAGUAUGGUAGGGGCAGAGGGAAUUCCUGGUGUAGCGGUGAAAUGCGUAGAGAUCAGGAAGAACAUCGGUGGCGAAGGCGCUCUGCUGGACCAUAACUGACACUGAGGUGCGAAAGCGUGGGGAGCAAACAGG
rnacentral:rRNA from 1 species